CGAAGCAACGCGAAGAACCUUACCAGGUCUUGACAUCCUUUGACCACUCUAGAGAUAGAGCUUUCCCUUCGGGGACAAAGUGACAGGUGGUGCAUGGUUGUCGUCAGCUCGUGUCGUGAGAUGUUGGGUUAAGUCCCGCAACGAGCGCAACCCUUAUUGUUAGUUGCCAUCAUUCAGUUGGGCACUCUAGCGAGACUGCCGGUGACAAACCGGAGGAAGGUGGGGAUGACGUCAAAUCAUCAUGCCCCUUAUGACCUGGGCUACACACGUGCUACAAUGGACGGUACAAUGAGUCGCGAGACCGCGAGGUUUAGCUAAUCUCUUAAAGCCGUUCUCAGUUCGGAUUGUAGGCUGCAACUCGCCUACAUGAAGCCGGAAUCGCUAGUAAUCGUGGAUCAGCACGCCACGGUGAAUACGUUCCCGGGCCUUGUACACACCGCCCGUCACACCACGAGAGUUUGUAAC
rnacentral:rRNA from 1 species